rnacentral:rRNA from 1 species
CGGAGGAGGCAUGUGGUUUAAUUUCGUAUGAUACGCGAGGAACCUUACCUGGGCUCGAACGUAAGAUGACUGUAGGUGAAAGCUUACAUCUCUUCGGAGCAUUUUACGAGGUGCUGCAUGGUUGUCGUCAGCUCGUGCCGUGAGGUGUCGGGUUAAGUCCCAUAACGAGCGCAACCCCUACCUUUAGUUGCCAUCAGGUUAAGCUGGGGACUCUAAAGGAACUGCCUACGCAAGUAGUGAGGAAGCGGGGAUGACGUCAAAUCAGCACGGCCCUUACGUCCAGGGCUACACACGUGCUACAAUGGCCGAUACAGAGGGCAGCUACCUGGUGACAGGAUGCAAAUCUCCAAAGUCGGUCUCAGUUCGGAUCGGAGUCUGCAACCCGACUCCGUGAAGUUGGAUUCGCUAGUAAUCGCGCAUCAGCCAUGGCGCGGUGAAUACGUUCCCGGGCCUU